AAAUUGUAUGCAGUUGUCCCUAGGUAUCCUCAAAAGAUUGGUUUUAGGGCCGGGUGUGGUGGCUGUUGUGUUUUAUUUAAGUUCUUCUCCAUUGAUAUUUCAGCAUUUAAGUUCUUCUCCAUGGAUAUUUCAGCACUUAUGCCUAGCUAAUGUUUAAAUAUUUUUAGUAGAGUCAGGGUUUCACCAUCUUGCCCAGACUGGUCUCAAACUCCUGACCUCACGCAAUCCACCCUCCUUGGCCUCCCAAAGUGCUGGAAUUACAGGUGUGAGCCACUGCGCCCGGCCACUGUGUUUUAUUUAAGUUCUUCUCCAUUGAUAUUUCAGCACUCUCUGCAGUCAUUAGUGGGAACAAUACUUCUAGACAUUACUUCGAUCCCAUGACCAUAAAAUUCUUAAUGGAAAUGUAUAUGAAAGGAUCUGGGAAGUUUACUAAUCAUUAAAGAUUGGGGUUUCUGGUGAAUUUCCUAAGAUUUGAAUUUUCAAAAGGCACAAGAAACCUUUGCCAAAUCUAUUGACCCCUUUCAAUUAUGCAUUUCAUUAAGAACACCAAAAUAUAAGAGUUUUUUCCAUCCCUCUCCUAUUUAUCUCUUUGUCGCUGUUUCUCUCUGAAUCUCUCUGGGUUUCCUUCUUCUUCACUCUUUGUUUACUGUUUCUCUCUCUUUUCCCUAAGAUCUAGUGGACAUGUGAAAAUGAGUUUAGCUGAGGUGUAUUAACAAAGUUAGCCACCUUGCAGCCUCACUGGGAAAUAAAAUUCUAUUAAACACAACUGUCAUCAAAUUCAUUAGUGCCUCCUCCCCUUGCCUUCUUGCCAUUGGGUUGCUAACAAGUUACACUGUUUUUCUCUCUCCUCUCCAGUCCCCCUUUCUUGAGGUUUUGUUCUCUCCUUCCUCCUUUCUGCACCGCCUGCCCUGUUGGAGAUGCAUGGGCUGCCCCUGCGGCCACCACUGCCACCACCCCCCCAGCAGACAGAAAGGGUAAAAUGUCAAAAGAUGCGUCGGUUGCCUCUGACAAAAGUGCAG
rnacentral:lncRNA from 1 species